rnacentral:rRNA from 1 species
GCAGUGAGGAAUAUUGGACAAUGGUGGGAACACUGAUCCAGCCAUGCCGCGUGCAGGAAGACUGCCCUAUGGGUUGUAAACUGCUUUUAUACGGGAAGAAACACCCCCUACCGUGUAGGGAUUUGACGGUACCGUAAGAAUAAGGAUCGGCUAACUCCGUGCCAGCAGCCGCGGUAAUACGGAGGAUCCAAGCGUUAUCCGGAAUCAUUGGGUUUAAAGGGUCCGUAGGCGGGCUUCUAAGUCAGUGGUGAAAUCCGGCAGCUUAACUGUCGAACUGCCAUUGAUACUGGAAGUCUUGAAUUACUAUGAAGUGGUUAGAAUAUGUAGUGUAGCGGUGAAAUGCUUAGAUAUUACAUGGAAUACCAAUUGCGAAGGCAGAUCACUAAUAGUACAUUGACGCUGAGGGACGAAAGCGUGGGUAGCGAACAGGAUUAGAUACCCUGGUAGUCCACGCCGUAAACGAUGGAUACUAGCUGUUGGGCGUAAGCUC